rnacentral:rRNA from 1 species
AGGGUUUGAUCCUGGCUCAGAGUUAACGCUAGUGGCGCGCCUAAUACAUGCAAGUCGUAGAUUAUUUAUUUAAAUAGUUUAGGCGAACGGGUGAGGAAUAAGCUAGUAUCUGCCUUUCGAUAGGGGAUAAGAAUCUAAGUAUCAAACAUUAAGGAUGAUAUAUGAUAGAAGACCCUAUAUUAAUAAAGUCUUAAUGACGUCGAAAGAUGAACUGGUUCAAGAUUAGGUAGUUGGUAAGGUAAAGGCUUACCAAGCCUGUGAUCUUUAGUGGUUCUGAGAGGAAGUACCACCACACGGGAACUGAGACAAGGUCCCGACUCAUUUUGAGGCAGCAGUAGGGAAUAUUGGACAAUGAACGAAAGUUUGAUCCAGCGACGCCACGUGAAGGAAAAGCUAACUGAAGGCUAAAGUGUUGUAAACUUCAAAAUUUUGGGAAGAUAAUGACAUUACCAAAAUUCAAGUCCUGGCAAAUCUUGUGCCAGCCGCCGCGGUAAUACAAGAAGGGCAAGCGUUAUUCGGAAUAAUUUGGU